CAUAGGUUAAUGAGGCGAACCGGGGGAACUGAAACAUCUAAGUACCCCGAGGAAAAGAAAUCAACCGAGAUUCCCCCAGUAGCGGCGAGCGAACGGGGAGCAGCCCAGAGCCUGAAUCAGUGUGUGUGUUAGUGGAAGCGUCUGGAAAGGCGCGCGAUACAGGGUGACAGCCCCGUACACAAAAAUGCACAUACUGUGAGCUCGAUGAGUAGGGCGGGACACGUGGUAUCCUGUCUGAAUAUGGGGGGACCAUCCUCCAAGGCUAAAUACUCCUGACUGACCGAUAGUGAACCAGUACCGUGAGGGAAAGGCGAAAAGAACCCCGGCGAGGGGAGUGAAAAAGAACCUGAAACCGUGUACGUACAAGCAGUGGGAGCACGCUUAGGCGUGUGACUGCGUACCUUUUGUAUAAUGGGUCAGCGACUUAUAUUCUGUAGCAAGGUUAACCGAAUAGGGGAGCCGAAGGGAAACCGAGUCUUAACUGGGCGUUAAGUUGCAGGGUAUAGACCCGAAACCCGGUGAUCUAGCCAUGGGCAGGUUGAAGGUUGGGUAACACUAACUGGAGGACCGAACCGACUAAUGUUGAAAAAUUAGCGGAUGACUUGUGGCUGGGGGUGAAAGGCCAAUCAAACCGGGAGAUAGCUGGUUCUCCCCGAAAGCUAUUUAGGUAGCGCCUCGUGAAUUCAUCUCCGGGGGUAGAGCACUGUUUCGGCAAGGGGGUCAUCCCGACUUACCAACCCGAUGCAAACUGCGAAUACCGGAGAAUGUUAUCACGGGAGACACACGGCGGGUGCUAACGUCCGUCGUGAAGAGGGAAACAACCCAGACCGCCAGCUAAGGUCCCAAAGUCAUGGUUAAGUGGGAAACGAUGUGGGAAGGCCCAGACAGCCAGGAUGUUGGCUUAGAAGCAGCCAUCAUUUAAAGAAAGCGUAAUAGCUCACUGGUCGAGUCGGCCUGCGCGGAAGAUGUAACGGGGCUAAACCAUGCACCGAAGCUGCGGCAGCGACGCUGAUGCGUUGUUGGGUAGGGGAGCGUUCUGUAAGCCUGUGAAGGUGUGCUGUGAGGCAUGCUGGAGGUAUCAGAAGUGCGAAUGCUGACAUAAGUAACGAUAAAGCGGGUGAAAAGCCCGCUCGCCGGAAGACCAAGGGUUCCUGUCCAACGUUAAUCGGGGCAGGGUGAGUCGACCCCUAAGGCGAGGCCGAAAGGCGUAGUCGAUGGGAAACAGGUUAAUAUUCCUGUACUUGGUGUUACUGCGAAGGGGGGACGGAGAAGGCUAUGUUGGCCGGGCGACGGUUGUCCCGGUUUAAGCGUGUAGGCUGGUUUUCCAGGCAAAUCCGGAAAACUAAGGCUGAGGCGUGAUGACGAGGCACUACGGUGCUGAAGCAACAAAUGCCCUGCUUCCAGGAAAAGCCUCUAAGCAUCAGGUAACAUCAAAUCGUACCCCAAACCGACACAGGUGGUCAGGUAGAGAAUACCAAGGCGCUUGAGAGAACUCGGGUGAAGGAACUAGGCAAAAUGGUGCCGUAACUUCGGGAGAAGGCACGCUGAUAUGUAGGUGAAGCGACUUGCUCGUGGAGCUGAAAUCAGUCGAAGAUACCAGCUGGCUGCAACUGUUUAUUAAAAACACAGCACUGUGCAAACACGAAAGUGGACGUAUACGGUGUGACGCCUGCCCGGUGCCGGAAGGUUAAUUGAUGGGGUCAGCGCAAGCGAAGCUCUUGAUCGAAGCCCCGGUAAACGGCGGCCGUAACUAUAACGGUCCUAAGGUAGCGAAAUUCCUUGUCGGGUAAGUUCCGACCUGCACGAAUGGCGUAAUGAUGGCCAGGCUGUCUCCACCCGAGACUCAGUGAAAUUGAACUCGCUGUGAAGAUGCAGUGUACCCGCGGCAAGACGGAAAGACCCCGUGAACCUUUACUAUAGCUUGACACUGAACAUUGAGCCUUGAUGUGUAGGAUAGGUGGGAGGCUUUGAAGUGUGGACGCCAGUCUGCAUGGAGCCGACCUUGAAAUACCACCCUUUAAUGUUUGAUGUUCUAACGUUGACCCGUGAUCCGGGUUGCGGACAGUGUCUGGUGGGUAGUUUGACUGGGGCGGUCUCCUCCUAAAGAGUAACGGAGGAGCACGAAGGUUGGCUAAUCCUGGUCGGACAUCAGGAGGUUAGUGCAAUGGCAUAAGCCAGCUUGACUGCGAGCGUGACGGCGCGAGCAGGUGCGAAAGCAGGUCAUAGUGAUCCGGUGGUUCUGAAUGGAAGGGCCAUCGCUCAACGGAUAAAAGGUACUCCGGGGAUAACAGGCUGAUACCGCCCAAGAGUUCAUAUCGACGGCGGUGUUUGGCACCUCGAUGUCGGCUCAUCACAUCCUGGGGCUGAAGUAGGUCCCAAGGGUAUGGCUGUUCGCCAUUUAAAGUGGUACGCGAGCUGGGUUUAGAACGUCGUGAGACAGUUCGGUCCCUAUCUGCCGUGGGCGCUGGAGAACUGAGGGGGGCUGCUCCUAGUACGAGAGGACCGGAGUGGACGCAUCACUGGUGUUCGGGUUGUCAUGCCAAUGGCACUGCCCGGUAGCUAAAUGCGGAAGAGAUAAGUGCUGAAAGCAUCUAAGCACGAAACUUGCCCCGAGAUGAGUUCUCCCUGACUCCUUGAGAGUCCUGAAGGAACGUUGAAGACGACGACGUUGAUAGGCCGGGUGUGUAAGCGCAGCGAUGCGUUGAGCUAACCGGUACUAAUGAACCGUGAGGCUUAACCUUACAACGCCGAAG
rnacentral:rRNA from 1 species